rnacentral:lncRNA from 1 species
AUUGUGACAUAAGGAAUAGAUAGAUAGAACAUCCCUUUGAAGUAAAGUAUGUGUAUAAAUUCCAUGUAUAAAUAUUGUUUUGAGGGAGCAAGGAGAAAACACACUGUUUCCUGCUGGAGAGUCAACCGGACUAAGCGAGAGUAUCUGAAGAAGUUGAGGUCUGGUUACGCCUCUAAACCGCAUGUUUAGCGCAAUUGAUCUUAAUUAAAUAUUUGUCAAAUGAGUCAAAUCAACGACAGAAACAUGGAGACAACCGUCGGAUUUUUGUGGCUGUGAUAACUAGUAACGAGCGUCCACAUGCCAGGUCCUCUUCCUCCUCUGAUGACGUAGUGACGUGUUGGAGCUGGUCAGACAAACUACCUAUUAUUCCCAAGUCUCGACUCUUAUUAUCCGCAACAAAUAGCUAUUGUUUUUUUUUUCAUCUCUUUGUGAUCAUUUUUACACAAUCCCAACGUUGGCGAAGGAUAUUCACGGUAGUCUACUUGUUUUUGGGAAAGGUUAUACGAGUUGUUGUGUAGUUUAGGUAAAAGUCGCACGGCACUGGCCGCUCGUCGGUUUCUAUGCGGUAGGGACAUGUUGUUAUCCAUUGUUAUGGACUUGUAGCGCUAGUUGUCUUCAGUCCCAUACUAGAGUAGUCUCUGUCUCUCUCUCUGUGUCUCUCUGCGAUGGCCGAGGCGAGGAGAAUGGAGGACGAACAGCAGCAGAGUUUGAGAGGGGAACCGAGAGGGGAACCUGUCGUAAGGAGACAACCAUCUGGAGAGCGCUCAGAGAGGCAGAAAGACCACAGACUCAGGUAAGAGAUCUGCUAGUUUUGACAGACAUAUUGUGUAUCUCAAAUAGUACCCUAUUCUCUCUUUUAAUGCACUACUUCUGACCAGAGUACACUGGCUCCUGGUCUAAAGUAGUGCACUACUUCUGACGAAAGUGUCCCAAAUGACCCCUGUUCCCAAUGGGCCCUGGUCUAAAGUAGUGCACUAUAAAGGGAAAAGGGUGCUGUUUGGGAUAUAGACCAUUUUUUUCCUCUGCUAUUACUCAUCUGCCAUAUAAAUUAUGACCUUGCUUUGCACGCCAACACUUGCUGCCGGGCUAGGAGCUGUUAGCAUGGCUAGUGGUUUUAUAUGGUUGGCUGAGCAGGACUGUAGAGCUGUUAGCAUGGCUAGUGGUUUUAUAUGGUUGGCUGAGCGGGACUGCAGAACUGUCGGGCUAGGAGCUGUUAGCAUGGCUAGUGGUUUUAUAUGGUUGGCUGAGCGGGACUGUAGAACUGUCGGGCUAGGAGCUGUUAGCAUGGCUAGUGGUUUUAUAUGGUUGGCUGAGCAGGACUGUAGAGCUGUUAGCAUGGCUAGUGGUUUUAUAUGGUUGGCUGAGCGGGACUGUAGAGCUGUUAGCAUGGCUAGUGGUUUUAUAUGGUUGGCUGAGCGGGACUGCAGAACUGUCGGGCUAGGAGCUGUUAGCAUGGCUAGUGGUUUUAUAUGGUUGGCAGAGCGGGACUGCAGAACUGUCGGGCUAGGAGCUGUUAGCAUGGCUAGUGGUUUUAUAUGGUUGGCUGAGCAGGACUGUAGAGCUGUUAGCAUGGCUAGUGGUUUUAUAUGGUUGGCUGAGCAGGACUGUAGAGCUGUUAGCAUGGCUAGUGGUUUUAUAUGGUUGGCUGAGCGGGACUGCAGAACUGUCGGGCUAGGAGCUGUUAGCAUGGCUAGUGGUUUUAUAUGGUUGGCUGAGCGGGACUGCAG